AAAGUCUCAGGGUCGCAUCUGGAGAGUUUCCAGUGCCUUACCAGUGUCGGCUACGGGAGGGAGAGUCAAGCAGAGGCCUACCCAUUCCAUUCCUAGCUUGAGCAGUGGCUAGCGAUUGGAAAGCAAUCUGCUACUAGU